rnacentral:rRNA from 1 species
AACGAACGCUGGCGGCAUGCCUAACACAUGCAAGUCGAACGAGACCUUCGGGUCUAGUGGCGCACGGGUGCGUAACGCGUGGGAACCUGCCCUUAGGUUCGGAAUAACUCCCCGAAAGGGGUGCUAAUACCGGAUAAUGUCUUCGGACCAAAGAUUGAUCGCCUUUGGAUGGGCCCGCGUUGGAUUAGCUAGUUGGUAGGGUAAAAGCCUACCAAGGCGACGAUCCAUAGCUGGUCUGAGAGGAUGAUCAGCCACACUGGGACUGAGACACGGCCCAGACUCCUACGGGAGGCAGCAGUGGGGAAUAUUGGACAAUGGGCGAAAGCCUGAUCCAGCAAUGCCGCGUGAGUGAUGAAGGCCUUAGGGUUGUAAAGCUCUUUUACCCGGGAUGAUAAUGACAUUACCGGGAGAAUAAGCUCCGGCUAACUCCGUG